rnacentral:siRNA from 1 species
UACAACCUACCUGACCAUGCAUAU